rnacentral:lncRNA from 1 species
CGUAAUACGUGAAGUCUUGCUUGAGAAUGCUUCGAACACCUGGCUAUAGAAGAAAGAAUAGAAAUUAUAAUAACAAAAUCUUAAUUCUAAUAGAAUACUAACAAUGCUCUAAUUAGACAUUAAUAAUGCUAAGCAAGCUUAAUCAAAUUCAAAAAAACCUCAAAGAAAUUUCAAACCAACAAUAAAAAUUCUUAAAAAAAUGAUCACAAAUAUAACUCAAAUACAUCUCAAUUCAAUCUUAAUUUAAUUCUAGUUAAAAUCCUAUUGAACUUUAUUCAAACUUUAAGCCAAAACUAAUUAAAUCUUAAACCUUAAUAAAAUCCUAAAUCCUAAACCAAAUCCUAAAAAAACUUUAAAUCUAAUCUCAACGAAAUCCUAAAUCAAACCCUAAUUCUUGUCACGGACACAAAAUACAGACUUGAAAUCUAACAAGAAGUUCAAGAAGAAGUGGCAGAACUAGAUUAAACAGAUGAGUACAAGAACAACACCAAAAAGGUGAGCUAGAAC